rnacentral:lncRNA from 1 species
CCCCACUGGCACCAAGGCCAAAAUUGGGGGCCAACAGAGGUGAGGCAAAGAACCUCACCCCCCCCCACUGGUGCAUAGGCCUAUCCACAAGUAUGGCUGUAUGCUGGACCGGUAGUCAGUGACGGGUAUGAUCCAAUUGCAGUGGUACCAACCUAAGACAGGAGGCUGACGCCUAGAGGUCAGUUUUUCCCAUGACGGGUAAGGACCAUAUGUUGAAUUGGACAACCUACCAGGCACGGUCCUUAAGCCACAUUGCUUGUCAUUUAAUUAAUCAGAAGGGGGGAGAUGCUGAGGGCCAUUGCUAAGUAAGAAUGAGGCAUGGCAUGACCCAGGUCAUUUGCAGUGACAUUGCAUAUAAGGUGACCUUGCUCAAGGACCAGGGCGGAUCUGGGUUUAGGGCGUUCCUGGUUUAGGACAAUCGGGGUUUAGGGCGGUUCAAGGUUUAAGGUGUACCCUGCUGGGAAUAGGGCGUAUCCUGCUGCCUCAGGUGCGCCUGCUCCUUCAGUUCCCGUUGAGUUCUCGCAGGAUUGAGAGAGUAUUUGGGAUUUUGCCCAGAACAUGAUUUGGGCAGAGAACGUGGAUUCCCCCAGAACGUGUGUGUAGAGUGCCGGUGUGAGUUCGGGAAAAAAGAGUUGCUGUUUGAAUCUACAAGGUGUGUGGUGGCUCGCGAUUUUGUGCCCAGCCAGACUGCAGCACAGGAAGACCCGGUGUCCACUCUGAGCUCUCCUUACCCGUGUGCUCUCUCUUGCCCCCACCUUUGGACUGUGAAUUCUGGGACAGGUGUUACUUACACCUAUCAGAACCCCAUCCCUGGACAGUGUGUGGUGUGUGUUCGGCUGACUUUCGUUGGCUGGUGUCAGAGCAGAAGGUGAGAGAUUCCCAGCCCCAAGAAGAGGCUAGGCCUCUCCCAGGUGGGAGGAACAACAGAGGUGAGGGGCGGGAGGGAUUGUGGGAGUGGCCACAUGCUGGCCGCCAGACCCAGUGGCAUCAGAGUCAGACACUUCCAGGGCCUGCUGCCCCUUGGGCGUGGGGCUCUGGCACGGCUGGUCCUCAAAGCUCCACAGUCAGCAGCAGAGCCCGGAGUGUCUCCCCUGCCCAGGCCUCAGGAAUGCCCCCUGUGCCUGUGAGAAUCAUGUUCCAACUGUCCUCUCCCUUCUCAUGAAAAGGGGAACGCAAGCCCCGAGGGCAGAGGAUGUCUACCACACUGUGCUCAUGAGGGGACAGUUGUAGGCACCUCUUGGGGAAUCUUUGGUGGUCACAUAUGAGAGGGGACAGUGGUACUGGUAUCUAGCAGGCCAAGGCUGGGAAGCUGCUGGACACCCUGCAGUUCUCAGGACACCAUGACAAAGUACGCGCCCACCGGCCAGCAGCAAAGAUGCCUGGCUGGGAGUAAGCAGUGGGCGUAGGAGCCACGCUUCUGUGUCCCUCGUUGUGACCUUUCCACUGAGGCUGACGGUGACCAGGUUAUGAUUCACUGAGCACUGUGGCUCCGUGCCCUUGCACACGACCUCGUGGACAUGGGGGGCAGGCCGGGGACAGGGCUGUCCAGCUGCAGAGCUGAGCAUAGCUCGUGCCCACGUCCUCAGCCACCAUACCACCUGCUCUGCUCAGACGGGGUCCCUGUCAGUGGUUGCUGGAAGCCACAGAGCCUCAGCACCUCCUGCCCGGGCUGGUCAAGAAGUUGGAGGAUGUGAGGCCAUACCCUGUAGCAGGGGGACAGGCCAUGGGCCGAGCCAUGUCCCUCUGUGAACAGGUGAGCCAGGGGAGGAACUUACGACCUGCUGGGUGGGGGCCCUGGGCCUUGCCGGCCAGAGUGGGCCAGUCCCUUCAGGAGGGACAUGGGGAUUCCUCAGGUCAGGACCACGGAGAAGGGAGGCGCAGAGGGACAUGGUGGCCACCCUGUGUGAGAAGGCCGGGACACCCUGGCUGCCUUGCUGGAGAUCAGCCUAGGCUGGUCCUCUCCCUUCCUUCCGCUGCUUCUGUUUUGAUGGAGUCACAGCUCGAAAGUGGCCUUCAAAUGCACUAGGCAGGUCCCGCAGGUACAGGUCCUGUGGUGUUUAAAAGCAUCAAUCUCAGGGUGCAGACCUGACCUGACUACCUCUACAGGACAGCUGCAGCGGAGUUCCAAGGUGCAGAGCCGCCUGCUGUGGUGGGGGCCUGGGGGGACACAGGGGGCUUUGGCCUGGCCACAAGCAGUGCAGCUGAGCCAGGAGAAUCCCAGGUGGAGCUUUUGGUGAAGCUGUGCCCUGAAUCAGAGGGUGGCCAUGCCCCCACCUGCUUCUCAAGACCACCUUUCCAGUGGGGACCACCCCCAAGCAGGGUGCCAAGAAGGCUGGCCAAGUGCAGUGGCAUCCUGCCGGAGUACACUGUGUGCCCGCAGAGCAGCAGCAAGGUCCAGCCUCAGACACAGGCCAGGUCAGCCAGAGCCGGCCCACAGGGGCAGCCACAGUGUCCCCAGGCCCAGACCCUGCUCCUCUGUUGGGAGGGCCCCUCCUCGGACUGUGGCGGGCCUGUAAUUAGGUUUAUUGUAAUGACAGCUUGGGUUUAUAGAGUGCCCCUCUCCGAGACACCCUCAUUUCUCAUGCCAAUCCUUCUGAGGUUCAGAGCGGAGGCUAGGGAGGGUUAAUUGGCUAUUAGCAUUGAGGAAACUGAGGCACGGGCAGGGUAAUGGAUUUGCCCAGGGCAUGAAGGGGUUAAAGCUGCAAAAUGGACUCAGAUUUGGGUGCUGUCCUGAUGCUGGUCCCUGGCACAGCCGCAGCGUGGACCAAUGCUCCUGAAGUGGACCAGGAUCCAGAGGCAAGGAGAGGCUGGGGCAGUGGCAGAGCAGAGGCCGAGCGCAAGCCCAGGGGUGGCUGUGAAGGAGACCCACAUUCUGAACGCCCAGGGUCCUGGGGCCUGCCCGCCCGGGAGUGAGGCCAUGCAGCUGCGUGCAUGUCUGCCCCUGGCCUCUUCCCGGGUCUUCCCUCUGAUCCUGGGCCUGGUGGUGCCCACUUACAUGGUUUGAAAGGCCAUGAGAACACACAACAAUCCCCACAGCCCAGCGAGGGCACGCCCGCCUCCUGCCGCACAGAGACAAAGGAUGAUGGUCAGCACUGUCAGCAGUCCUGGGCCAGGGCUUCCUCCAGCUGCAGAGGGGACACUCGGAUGACAGGAGCCGGCGUCUCAGAGUCCUGCUGGAGAGGAAGAGGCCUGUCCAGAGCCACACAGCCCUCGGGGCAGGCAGAGCGUGGGGCAGGGUCCCCACAGGGUCCCCACCCACCUGGAGGAGGACAUAGACGGCUUCAGAGCAGACAGAGCAGGUGCAGAUGACCCGGAAAAUGGGAGCCCUGGUCCCAAGGUCACGGGCGAGGACAGUGCAUGCACAGCCCCAGUUCCCAUGGUCACCCUCAAGCUGACAAGGACUUCCUGACACCUGGAGGAACGGGACAGCACAGAGCUGGCCUCAACACCCUGCCCAGUUCCCACCCACUGCCCCGCCCACUCCCCUGCUCACACCACACAUGCACACACACACUCAGUCACACGCACACACACUCACACUCUCAUACUCACACUCAUUCUCACACUCAAACACACUCUCACACUCACACUCAUUCUCACACCUACCCACUCACACUCUCACACUCAUUCUCACACACACACACACACACACACACACGGCCCUAGGGCGUGGCUGUGUGUGCUAUAUUCUUCCAAGUCUUCAGGACCAAUCUGUAGGCAUCGCCCCUCACCCGCUACCCACUGCCCUCCUCAGUACACUGCACCCAAGUCACAAGGGCUAAGGACACACUGAGGACCCAACUUAUUAUUCUGUAGAAGAGCAAUUUAAAGAACUAACGACCCAGUCAUCCCACUUUCCGUGCAAACUAGCAGGUUGACGUGCCCCGUACCUGGGUCAGGCCCUCUGUGUGUCAGCCAAGCUGGUCAGUUUGAAGGGGUGGCAGACAUAGGAACCCACUCCAGCCCCCAGUGACUCCCUCAGGCAAGGCCAGCCUCAGCGGGUGACAUUGCUGGGCAACAGGAGAGAAGGUGGCCUCGCCCCAUGGUCCCAUCCGCUGACUGGCAUCUCUGCGAGGGUCACCUCGGCUUUGCAGUCUACUUCUGCUACUGCCUGCUAGUGAGUGGACUCAGCAUGGACACAGGUGGUGCCUGAACACUGCUUGGAACCAGGGGCCGACCCAUGACCAGCUGUUCCCCCUUUUUCUAUAACUAAAGAAAAGCCUUUUUCAAGGGCAACAUGGGAAGUACCCUGAAAAACCAAAUGCACCGAGGCCUAGUCAGCCAGGGGCAGGGAAGCCCUUCAGUCUUGGGGCUGGUGGGAGAAGGGCUUGGUGCGGCUGCUCCAGCUACGCAGGGCCAGCUCUGCUACAGUAGAUUUGUUGUGUACUUUACGGUAUGACUAUUCACUGCAUCGUUUGGCAAUGCAUUUUAAUAUUUGUAAUAAGCCCUUUUGGGGCCAUGCUGAGGAAAAAAAAAAGAUUAAGAAACUGAAAAUUCAAAAAUGCAUGCUGAAUCAAAAAAAUAAGUUUCUAGAUUUCUGUUUCUCAAGAAUUCUGAUUAUGAAUGUCUAACUUACACCAAAUGUUUGUGAAAAUUUAUAAUCCAGUAUGCAUGAGUCAGUUUUCUGUUGCUAUAACAAAAUAUCCCAGGCUCAGUAUAAAAAAAAAAAGAAAAGUGUUUUAUUUAGCUCAUUGUUUUCAAGGCUGAAAGCCCAAGCAACAUGCUGUCAGCCCUGAUGAGGGCCCACUGACUGGGUCACCUCCUGGUGGUUGGCAUCAUGGUAGAAGUGGGUAUGGGGAGGGAUCACACAGAGACACAGAAGCCACAGAGGAGAGAGGCCAGUCCUGCCCUUUUAUAACAACUCAGAGUCCACAGAGAGCACUAACUCAGGGUUCAUAAAAAUUACCUUAAUCCUUCCAAGGAUGGCGCCUUCUCUAGCCUCCACCCCCUGGGGGGUACCUCUUAAAGACUCCACCAUCUCCAUCCCCAGGCGGGGACCAAGCUUCCAACAUGAAACUCUGGGGCAAGCACCACUGCCAACCACAGCACCGUAAACACGGUGACCUCACGGAGCCCUCGAGGCCGCAGAUGCAGAUCUGCUGGAGAAACACCUGCGCCAGCUUCCAAGUCAGCAAUUACCCAAAGACCUUCAGAGCAGCGCCCAGCGGGCAGGCGGCAGGGCGGGCGGCAUGCAGGGGAGCAGGACUCCUCGUUAGACUAGAGUCACUCCAGUUCAUUCCAUUCCUUUUCGGUUUCAGGUUUUCUCGGGAUUUUACAGGGUGAGGUGAUACACGUCACUAUGCUGCUUCUGUGAGCCAAAGAAUGUCACUGUUAAGUGAUGCCAGUUUAAUGUGUGUGUUAUCAGAUGCUUCAAAAAGAAAAGCCAAUUAAGUGAAUUGAAUAAUGACUUAAUUUUUAUUCAAGUCACUAAAUAAAAGCAAGGCUUUGAACCUGCGUUCUACAAAGAAGGUGUCAUUUGUUGUUUGUGAGAAUGCAAGAUGUAAGAAUUCAGUGGGACGUCCAACACUGCUGGUAGGAUUAUUUGUCUUUUUAGUUAUGAUACAAAGGUGAGUGUCACUGAGUAUAAUGGUAGCAGAUAUGCUACUAUUAAAUUAAGAAAGCAUGGGACAGAAAUAUAGUUGGAACGGUUGGUGGUGAACAAAUAAUUUGUAAGUUGCAAAUUAAGCUGCAACAUUCCUCUAAUUGAAAUAAAAGUUGCAAAUAUUAAAAUUCACAGGUAUUUUUUGCUUGGUAUGAUGGUGCAUGCCUAUAAUCCCAACAAAUUAGGAGGCUGAGGCAGGAGGAUCACAAGUUCAGGGCCAGUCUGGGCAACCUAAGAAGACCCUGUCUCAGAAGAUAAAAAGGGUUGGGGAUGUGGCUCAGAGGUAGAGAGCCCCUGGGUUCAAUCCUCAGUACUGGAGGGGAAAGAAAAACAGACUUGUUCCUUUGUUUAAUAUUCUGAACUCUUAAAACUUCUGUGACAGUGCUCAUAGGGAUUCUAGGACUGUACAGCCUUGGAGACAGCAGUUUGUAAAUCCACUAAAUGGCUCACAUUGGCACUGUGUGUGUGUGUGUGUGUGUGUGUGUGCGUGUGCAUCCAUGACCAGGUCUUCUAGAUUAGGGUUGCAUUGUAUUCCAAAACAGUUGGAAAUCUUUAAUCAAACUACUCAAUAAACAGUUAACCAAAACCUCUCCUUUUGAAAUUUUUGGCAAAUUACGGCAAUAAUUGAAAACGAUAAUAUACACAGAAAGACUACUUAAAUCCAUCACCACGGAACAAAGUUGGAAGCUGAAUAACUCAUAUGGCGUCUGCCCAGUCGAGUAUGAGAAUAACUGGAGUUCUGAAAUUGUUCCCUGGAAUAUCUCGGAAUAUAAUUUAAGGGAUAAACUUGAUGAGGCUCAUUCUUUAAUUGCACAUGUGUAUAUUAUGUUUUAGGAUGGAAUAAAAUGGAAGACACCUAUGAUUUCCAGAACAUGAAUUUGAGAAAACAUUCAAAAACUCACACGUGAAAAAAGAUCUGCUUGACAUUCUGCUCUAUGAAAUUAUUUAUGGAAGAAAUAGUCUCUGAAUAAAAGCCAGAACACAAACCGUGAAAAUCCCUGGUGAAAUACCAGCACUUUCACCCCCUGGGCCUUGGGCAGAGGUGGCUCCCUGGGAGGCACCUGCAGAAGAGUUUGCUCCUCCGAGAAGCCUGGGUCUAGAAGAUUCCAUGAACUCCCCAGCAAACUCAAAUCUGUUAGCCACUACAUGUCUUCUAGAAGAUGAUUCCAGGCAAUUUUUGAAGCUAUUAAAGUGCAAGGGGAAUCAGAAGACAAGGUGUCAUUCUGAAAAAUGCCACCCAUGUGGCAUUAGGCUCUAAUAAGCUUGAAAACUAAUCAAACAAUGUGAAUGUGUAGCAAGAAUAUUCAGCUUAUGAUUACUUCUUAAUAUCCAGAUAAUCAAUUCAAAGAGGGUAUCUGCAUUUUGCUUUAAUGCAAACAAAUGCCAUUUACUUCUUUAGAGUGUCUCAUUCAUUUUCUGUCAAUAUGCUUUUCACUUAGUCAGAGAUGACAACCAUAUGCCACCAGGAUAUCUCUCCUGGUCCUGGUUUGCCAAGGUAUUUUUAGUGAAAGUCAGUUUCUCCCAGCUUCCCCGAGUUAUCACCUGUACCCAGUGAUGUCCACCCACUGUGACUCACAGCCAAUGAGCCUGGGUCUGGGUCAUGGCCACGUGACCACAACAAUCCAGAAACAGGACAUGUCCCUCACCACAAAGCCCCUGGGUGCCCAAGCCCUGUCCCAGCUGACCACUGAUCCCUUCACAGCGUUUUGUUUAAAAAUCAGCCUCAAACAACUCUCCUGAUACAAUUGCCACACGGCACGGGAUUUGCAAGUGUUUUCUCGCGGCGGGGCCAGUCUUCUCCUCCACCUCUCAGUGUCACAGAGAAGGUCUUUGUUUGGACAGAGUCCUGCUUAUCAGUAUUUUUCUUAACAAGCCACACAUUUACCACUAAAAAGUCAUCGCCUAACUCAAAAGCACCAGUCCUUCUCAGCCUCUCCCAGCUUUCCAUUUUUAUUGUGCGUUGGGUGCUGGGGAUGGAAGCGGGUCUCCUGUGCACAGGCCUACACCCCGCCCUGAGCUCCACCCCAGCCCUGAACAUGCUAGUUUGGGGUUUACAUUUAGGCACAUGAUCCACUUUGAGUUAAUGCCGUCUGUCAUUCGAGNGGCCAAUGGCUUAUGCUGGACCGGUAGUCAGUGACGGGUAUGAUCCAAUUGCAGUGGUACCAACCUAAGACAGGAGGCUGACGCCUAGAGGUCAGUUUUUCCCAUGACGGGUAAGGACCAUAUGUUGAAUUGGACAACCUACCAGGCACGGUCCUUAAGCCACAUUGCUUGUCAUUUAAUUAAUCAGAAGGGGGGAGAUGCUGAGGGCCAUUGCUAAGUAAGAAUGAGGCAUGGCAUGACCCAGGUCAUUUGCAGUGACAUUGCAUAUAAGGUGACCUUGCUCAAGGACCAGGGCGGAUCUGG